rnacentral:rRNA from 1 species
UACAGAGGUCCCAAGCGUUGUUCGGAUUCACUGGGCGUAAAGGGUGCGUAGGCGGUCGGGUAAGUCUGAUGUGAAAUCUCACAGCUUAACUGUGAAACUGCAUUGGAUACUAUCCGGCUCGAGGAAUGGAGGGGAGACUGGAAUACUUGGUGUAGCAGUGAAUGCGUAGAUAUCAAGUGGAACACCAGUGGCGAAGGCGAGUCUCUGGACAUUUCCUGACGCUGAGGCACGAAAGCCAGGGAGCAAACGGG